AUGAACAGCAGCAAGAUUGCUGCACAGCUAAGCAAGGUCAUAGUGUCUUUCAGUGAGAAACAGAAAGCAAGUCUGCUUCUAUUUCAACAAUAAACAGGCUGUUUAUAAGUGUCCUGAUUAUGGCUGCUUCAUGACCACAACACCAGGAAUUACGAUUAUGGAAAGACUCAGAUAUAAAGGUCCUGUGGCUUUAGUAAUGAGACAUCUGGUACAUCUGCACACUUCAGGCUUCUUCGUCUGUCUUUCUGUAGAGUUGCUGAUCUCCCUACGGAAUUCUCCUCAAGAUCUUCCUCCAGGCUAAGCCAAAUGUUCUAAUCAAAUUGACACAUUUGGUUUGAUAUAAGACUUUCACAAAGCAACUUGAGGUUAUUUGAACAUGCACACAAGCAUCCGUAUUGGUAGGAAUGUUAAGUCAUUCUUGUUGAGACGUGUUCAGAAGGGUUUGCAAAAAGAAAAUGUGUACUGCAUGACUUUCAGAUUUGACUUAAAAUAUGAUUUAAUAUAAACAUAAAAACUGAGGGCAAUUGGUAUUCAACAACGUCUUCAAAUUUUACUCAGAUUUUAAUUUGUGAAUUUAAAUAGCCAUUGUAAAACUUUAUGUAUAUUUUAAUCCUCUUUUUUAUAUCUUUUCAUAGCAUUUUAUUAAUUCUGUAAAUUCAUCUCAACAGUUCAACAAUUGAUUGUAAAUUGCUAUUUUACAGAAUGUCAAGUACAACACUGGAAGUAAAAUUUUAUGUAUAAAUAUAGAUUAUUAUUAUUAUUAUUAUUAUUAUUAUUAUUAUUAUUAUUAUUAUUAUCGAGCAUUAAUUAAUGGUGCAAGAAUUAUGUAGAAGUUGUAGGAUUAUUAUGUAGGAUUUACUUUUCAAAAAGUAUUUUGCUUCAAGUCUUCAUGUGGUCUCUAGAAAUCUUCUUGUGUGCUGAAAAAAACACUGCUUCAGUUCAAAGUUUGCUCUAGCCACACCUUCUGAAUAACGAUGUAUGAAAAGAAGGUGUGGGCCAGACUCUUAUCAGUCCUCUUAAUAGUGUGAUGAUAUAAUGACCAACAAAAAAGAAUACUCACAGUGUGGGACUUAAGCAUCUUAACCCCUGGAAACUUUUCACAUUUUCACAGACAUGUUAUGUAUUGUAGCAGAGCUGAUGGAAAGUACAUGCAGGAUGUAAAGCAGUAACAUCAUAAAACUUAAUAUUGUUUUAUUAUUAUGCUUAAUAUUGGUCAAAUAAAUUCAGUUUAGUGUGAUAAGAUGCCAGUGCAAAUGUGUUCUAUGAUCGCUUUAGGAAUACAGGAAAUGUACUUACAGUGUUAAAAUAUGCAUCAGUGAUCAGUGGUUGGCCAUUAGGAAUAGUGAUUAGUGAUUAGUGAUUGACAGUGGUUUAAAAUAAUGGAGAUCAGUGACUGAAUCCCCACAAAGCAUAGCUACACUGGCUGCCCUAUCCUCUGCCUAUAUUUUCUCUCACUAACCAUAAGAAACAGGCAGGGGUGGUGAUACAGGUCUGCUGUUGUCAUGGAAAUGGUGUUUCACACCUCUCCCCUUGUCUCAUCUAACUAUCUCAUCUUUUGAAUGCCAUGCAGUUUCAGUUACCUCUCCAAUCAACCUCUUGAUCAUCAACAUCUACUGCCCUGCUGGUCCCUGAGGAGACUUCAUGUCCUUGGUGAUUUCAACCUCUCCUCUGUCAAGCUUAAGUCUUCUUACCUUCUGACUCUUCUGAAUUCUUUCUCCUUGACAUAAAGAAUCCUGAAGAAACCUGCUCUGUAUCCCUCUACAGACUGGUAUCAUUUCUCUCUUUUCUUUUUAAAGUUCUUGAAUCCAUUGUUUAUAAUCAACUAACUAUCCUAACCAUUCUGUCCAAGCUGUCACCUGUCCUCAUCCCCUUUAACCUUUUGGAAGCAUUUGACAAAGAAAAUCAUUUUUCUGAUUUGCUCUAAGAAUAAUAAAUAGAAGGCAAUAUGUGUGUAAAUUGUUUUGAGUGCUGGUUAGAAAAGGUAACCUUGCAUGAUGAAUUAAAGAAUAAGUCGAUUCUCACUGUAAGCAUUUCUGGUGUUUUUACUCAUCUAUACACAGCAGUAGGAAAUGCCACUUUUAUCAAAUUAUUUCAAUACUGUUAAUAUCCAAAAGUCUAUUAAUCAGGAAGAGGUGGAUGGCCUUUUUGAAAUUUAAAUUUUCAUGCUACAUGAUUCUGUGGAUGUAACAUUCGAAGCAAACUACGAAAAAUGUUCUAUUGAAGAUUUAGUAGCUUGCAGUUACUUUUAAAUAUUAAUAAUUGUCAUUGAUGGAUUGAGAAUGAAUGCCACAAACAUGCAAGUGUAAUAAGCAUAUCAGUUAGGUAGUGUUUCAACUGCACAAAGCAUUAUAGCUAAACCUAAUCAUUAGCAAAUUAUUAGUCAGACAACUUGCAACAGUAUUCUCUGUAGACUCCAGUCUAACAUGUCUAACAUGUUUGCACUAUAAUCUUCAGUUAGUGGAAAUGUGGAAGAGAAUAAUUAGUAAUUAUUGGGUUAGGUUAUUGUUUCUUCAUGUAACUAAAAUGCAUAUCUAUAAUACCACACCAUGAGACUUUACUGUGUGUUGCAUAUGAGCCAGCAGUUUUUUUUCUAUGCUAAGCUGCCACUAGGUGUGGAUAAUUGUGUUACUGUGAUGAGUGCAUGGUAAGGGUGUAUCGAGGGUGUACUACCCUGACUCUACCUGAAGGCAGCGACUGAAGUUGAAUUGAAUGAAUGAUAUUCAUGAUCAUAGUUAAGAAAAUGCAAAGAAUAUUAUAAACACAAUCAUAUAGAGUUGUGCUCAAAGGUUUGCAUUCCUUGGGAGAAUUUGCAAGUUGUGUAUCAUUUUUUACAGAAAACAUGAGUGAGAAGACAAAACAAAUUUAUAUUAUUUCUUAUAGGACUCAAGUUAAUAUGUAAAAUAAGGAAAUAAUCCCUGUUAAAAUGUUUGCAUACCUUUUGUAAUAAUUGUGCAU